rnacentral:lncRNA from 1 species
GUGUAAAUGGAUUUUCCUGAGCCUUUCUCCUCAGCCUCUCUCUUUUGCUCAUAUAGACAUGAUGAAAAAAAAAAAAAUAAAUCUUCCCCAGGUAUUCCUAAUAUUAAAGAAAAAAAUGGUGCCUUUGUUUCAGUUUAUAGAUGUUUCUGAAGCAUUUGAGUGCAACUGGAAUGGGGCAAUAAAAGUAUCUAAGGAGAUCUCAAGAAGCCCAAAGUUUAAGUGCUGAUUCUGAGUCUGGGAAUGAAACUACAUCCAUAAAUCCAAAAAUGCUCCAUCCAAAAAUCCAAAAAUGCUCCAACCGACCCUUUUGGAAAAUACCCAUCCUGUAAAGCAACAUUCAAAUCUGCAGACCGUGACAAAGCUAUAAAAAAAUUUCCCCAAAUCCCAUGUGACUAAGCAAGAGAUCUUCUAAAAUCAAAGCUUGACUUUUAAUUUUUAUUUGGGAAUUAAUUAUAUUAUUAUUAUAGACCAAUUUUGGGGAGCUGGGGGGAAGUUAAGACCAAAACAUAGAAAGAGUUCUAGGAGGUCUUUCAGAAGGAAAAGUAACAUAACCACAACAGUGAUUUUAGCUGCUUGGUGUCAUCUUCUAGGAAAAAAAAGUUAAAUAAAAAUUGGUGUCUAGAAUUACUCAUUUGAAUUUUGUUGGAUGAAAUGGGAGAGGAUAUUUCCUAAUGAUCCAAAAUUACCAGAGUAUGAGAUAAUGAUUAGAGAAUUGCACUGGUAAUUUCUAGUUUAUGGUAAAGGGCUGUGAUAAUUAAGAUGUCACGUGUCAUUCACAGAUACCAUGUUUGAUGUCCUUCAGGCUCAUCCUGGUGUCAGUUGUUAACUGUGGCCCACAGUUCAGUGGUUUUUUGCUCUUCAGGGAAGAAAAAGAUGAGAGAAAUUCACUAUCAUCUGUGAUGAGCUGUGAGACCAGAGCUAAAUAUCCAGCUACAGCAAGAUUUGUUUCCAGUCCUCCACACUUGGAAUGACCCUCCCUGGUUUUCCAUCACAGAGGUUUUCCUCUAGAGCGAGAACUUGUAUUUACAUCUCAUAAUUAUCUGUUCCUGUCUCUGGGUGAUCUUGGACUCCUGGUUUCCUUUCCAAGUGUGCUUCUUGCUUGUACUGAACAUUGUUGGGGGCAGAAACUUGGAGGCAGCUCUUCAAAGAACCCCAAAGUUUUUGGGAGUUCUGAUAAUGACAUAUUUAAGAUAAUACAAACCAGAGUGAGACCUACAAAUAGAUGCAGGAUAGGUAAUUGGAGAUAAAUGAACCAGGGCUGAGAAAACACAUUAAAUGAGAGGCAGCCCUCUUUUAAAACUGCAUUAUUUAUUGUUUAAUGUUUAAGACAAAGUCCUGCCCUCUUCAUGUGAUCACAGAAUUUCUUUUGCAGCAUCUUUCCUGCGUUGCAGCACAAAAUUUCAGAUAGUUGUGUAAGCUGCUGCUGAGAGUCUGUAAUUGCAUUUUGACUGAUUUUUUAAAAAAUAAAAAUAAAAAAAGGCUGGC